AUUGAACGCUGGCGGCAGGCCUAACACAUGCAAGUCGAGCGGACGAGAGGAGCUUGCUUCUCGAUUCAGCGGCGGACGGGUGAGUAAUGCCUAGGAAUCUGCCUGGUAGUGGGGGACAACGUUUCGAAAGGAACGCUAAUACCGCAUACGUCCUACGGGAGAAAGCAGGGGACCUUCGGGCCUUGCGCUAUCAGAUGAGCCUAGGUCGGAUUAGCUAGUUUGUGAGGUAAUGGCUCACAAAGGCGACGAUCCGUAACUGGUCUGAGAGGAUGAUCAGUCAGACUGGAACUGAGACACGGUCCAGACUCCUACGGGAGGCAGCCGUGGGGAAUAUUGGACAAUGGGCGAAAGCCUGAUCCAGCCAUGCCGCGUGUGUGAAGAAGGUCGUCGGAUUGUAAAGCACUUUAAGUUGGGAGGAAGGGUUGUAGAUUAAUACUCUGCAAUUUUGACGUUACCGACAGAAUAAGCACCGGCUAACUCUGUGCCAGCCGCCGCGGUAAAAC
rnacentral:rRNA from 1 species